GAUGAACGCUAGCGGCAGGCCUAAUACAUGCAAGUCGGACGGGAUCCAUUGAUAGCUUGCUAUCAAUGGUGAGAGUGGCGCACGGGUGCGUAACGCGUGAGCAACCUGCCUCCAUCAGGGGGAUAGCCUCUCGAAAGAGAGAUUAACACCGCAUAAUAUCAACAGUUCGCAUGUUCAGUUGAUUAAAUAUUUAUAGGAUGGAGAUGGGCUCGCGUGACAUUAGCUAGUUGGUAGGGUAACGGCUUACCAAGGCGACGAUGUCUAGGGGCUCUGAGAGGAGAAUCCCCCACACUGGUACUGAGACACGGACCAGACUCCUACGGGAGGCAGCAGUAAGGAAUAUUGGUCAAUGGGCGGAAGCCUGAACCAGCCAUGCCGCGUGCAGGAUGACUACCCUAUGGGUUGUAAACUGCUUUUGUCCAGGAAUAAACCUAAAUACGAGUAUUUAGCUGAAUGUACUGGAAGAAUAAGGAUCGGCUAACUCCGUG
rnacentral:rRNA from 1 species